rnacentral:rRNA from 1 species
GGAGUAGGGGGAUAACUACUGGAACGGUAGUUUAUUCUGAUAACGUGCAAGACAAAGAGGGGGAUUUCGGGCUCUUGUUAUCAGAUGUGCCCAGAUGGGUUUAGCUGUAGGUGGGGUAAUGGUUACCUAGGCCCGUUCCCUAGCUGGUCUGAGAGGAUGACCAGCCACUCUGGAUCUGAGACACGGUCCAGACUCCUACGGGAGGCAGCAGUGGGGAAUAUUGCACAAUGGGCGCAAGCCUGAUGCAGCCAUGCCGCGUGUGUGAAGAAGGCCUUCGGGUUGUAAAGCACUUUCAGCGAGGAGGAAGGUGGUGAACUUAAUACGUUCAUCAAUUGACGUUACUCGCAGAAGAAGCACCGGCUAACUCCGUGCCAGCAGCCGCGGUAAUACGGAGGGUGCAAGCGUUAAUCGGAAUUACUGGGCGUAAAGCGCACGCAGGCGGUUUGUUAAGUCAGAUGUGAAAUCCCCGGGCUCAACCUGGGAACUGCAUUUGAAACUGGCAAGCUAGAGUCUCGUAGAGGGGGGUAGAAUUCCAGGUGUAGCGGUGAAAUGCGUAGAGAUCUGGAGGAAUACCGGUGGCGAAGGCGGCCCCCUGGACGAAGACUGACGCUCAUGUUUGAAAAGCCGGGGGC